AUUGAACGCUGGCGGCAGGCCUAACACAUGCAAGUCGAGCGGAUGAAGGGAGCUUGCUCCUGGAUUCAGCGGCGGACGGGUGAGUAAUGCCUAGGAAUCUGCCUGGUAGUGGGGGAUAACGUCCGGAAACGGGCGCUAAUACCGCAUACGUCCUGAGGGAGAAAGUGGGGGAUCUUCGGACCUCACGCUAUCAGAUGAGCCUAGGUCGGAUUAGCUAGUUGGUGGGGUAAAGGCCUACCAAGGCGACGAUCCGUAACUGGUCUGAGAGGAUGAUCAGUCACACUGGAGCUGAGACACGGUCCAGACUCCUACGGGGGGCAGCAGUGGGGAAUAUUGGACAAUGGGCGAAAGCCUGAUCCAGCCAUGCCGCGUGUGUGAAGAAGGUCUUCGGAUUGUAAAGCACUUUAAGUUGGGAGGAAGGGCAGUAAGUUAAUACCUUGCUGUUUUGACGUUACCAACAGAAUAAGCACCGGCUAACUUCGUG
rnacentral:rRNA from 1 species